AUGACGUCAAAUCAUCAUGCCCCUUAUGACCUGGGCUACACACGUGCUACAAUGGUUGGUACAACGAAGUUGCGAGUCGGUGACGGCGAGCUAAUCUCCUUAAAGCCAAUCUCAGUUCGGAUUGGUAGGCUGCAACUCCGCCUACAUGAAGUCGGAAUCGCUAGUAAUCGCGGAUCAGCACGCCGCGGUGAAUACGUUCCCGGGCCUU
rnacentral:rRNA from 1 species